rnacentral:rRNA from 1 species
GAUGAACGCUGGCGGCGUGCCUAAUACAUGCAAGUCGAGCGAACAGAUAAGGAGCUUGCUCCUUUGACGUUAGCGGCGGACGGGUGAGUAACACGUGGGUAACCUACCUAUAAGACUGGGAUAACUUCGGGAAACCGGAGCUAAUACCGGAUAACAUUUGGAACCGCAUGGUUCUAAAGUGAAAGAUGGUUUUGCUAUCACUUAUAGAUGGACCCGCGCCGUAUUAGCUAGUUGGUAAGGUAACGGCUUACCAAGGCAACGAUACGUAGCCGACCUGAGAGGGUGAUCGGCCACACUGGAACUGAGACACGGUCCAGACUCCGACGGGAGGCAGCAGUAGGGAAUCUUCCGCAAUGGGCGAAAGCCUGACGGAGCAACGCCGCGUGAGGGAUGAAGGGUUUCGGCUCGUAAAACUCUGUGAUUAGGGAAGAACAAAUGUGUAAGUAACUGUGCACGUCUUGACGGUACCUAAUCAGAAAGCCACGGCUAACUACGUG